GAUGAAGAACGCAGCGAAAUGCGAUAAGUAAUGUGAAUUGCAGAAUUCAGUGUAUCAUCGAAUCUUUGAACGCACAUUGCGCCCCUUGGUAUUCCGAGGGGCAUGCCUGUUCGAGCGUCAUUAUAACCCCUCAAGCUCAGCUUGGUGUUGGGGCCUGCCGCACGGGCAGCCCUUAAAAUCAGUGGCGGUGCCAUCUGGCUCUAAGCGUAGUAAUUCUUCUCGCUAUAGAGUUCCGGUGGAUGCUUGCCAUUAACCCCCAAUUUUCUAUGGUUGACCUCGGAUCAGGUAGGGAUACCCGCUGAACUUAAGCAUAUCAAUAAGCGGAGGA
rnacentral:misc_RNA from 1 species